rnacentral:lncRNA from 1 species
CCAGUGCUGGUGGGCAACCAAGAUGUCUACUAGGAAUUUCUUUUCAUCGUUUCAAUGGACCGUUGUAAUGUAUUACAUAUUGACAGGCUGAGGUACAGCCUGUGACCAUUCUAUCUAAAGGGGAAGUUAAGUGCACGGCAUUACUGUGACACAUAAUAAUUUCAGAUCAGUAAUAUCAGUUUUUUUUGUUAUAUUGUAGCAUUACCUCGUGUGUCUUCUGCCUUUGCAGAGAGAAGAUUAUUCUGCUCCUCAGAGCAUAGUAGCAUUUGGUACAGCUAUGAAGUGUUCACAGUUGCUCGUUUCGGAUAUCAUGCUCGUGUUUACGUCAAAGGUCAGCUCUGGUUUGAGUGCACACAGCCAUAUAUUCCUUGUGAGGAUAUCAAAAUCUGUUACAUCAUCAAAGGAGGUACUACAUGAAUAUGUUUACUGCACUUUAUCUUUUGUUGUA